UCUAUAAAAGUUCGUGUUUAAUUACGUAGGCACUUCUUUCCAGUCAAAAAUCAAGCUGCUGCUGUGCGCGCUGUUUAUCUUUAAAAGAACAAUAUUAGACAAAGAUUAGUUCAACACUAUUUUUUUAAGAAACAGAUGACUGAUUAUCUUUGUAGUACAUACAUGUAUAUCAAAACUAUGUGUCUAAAAUAUCUUUUCCUAAAGUGACCUGAACGGCUUUUCCGAAUUUUUUCCCCCUGAUUUAUUAAUUAUAAACACAUAAAUAAAAAGACAAGGUUUAUUCCAUACAAUUCCGAAGAUUUCAUCAUAUUAAAAUAGAACUUAAAUAUCAUUGUUAAAUAAUGCAUAUUACUUGGCUAGCUACCUGUACUUUUGUAGUAUUGCUAGUAAAUGGACAAGUUGACUUACAUCCACCAAACUGGUGAUACUCUAAAUUAAUUAAUAUUUGUGAUAUCCAUUAUGUUUUAUAAAGCUGAUAUAUAGGGAAGUUGGAAAAAUCAAUUUGAUCCCACUAAAAUGUUUCCUUUUACAAUAAAAAGGGAAACUAAAUACAUUUCCUAACAUAUGCAUAUCACUGAUAGUUUUUAAUCUUAUAUCAGACAAUAGAUUAAAAAGAUGAGAUCUGCUUUUAUGAAUUUUUGGAUAACAUUACUGUUUAUAUCACUUGUGGAUUUAAAUGUUGUCUGUUCAAACAAUUGCUCGAUGGGAUACCAUGGACCCAACUGUAGCAUGGCAUGCCGCUAUCCAAACUAUGGAAAUGGCUGCCAGUCGGGAUGUUUGUGUGGGGAGGAUCAGUGCGAUCCUAUCACUGGAUGUGUUUGGAAAAAUGCAACGAAUGUUAUGCCUGUUAAAGGCACGUCUUAUUUUCUACUUAAUUCAACAUUUGUCAACAAUUCUUCAGAGGAGGAUAAUAAUUCAACAGGUAUGCAGCCGAGCGGUUCAUUGCAUAUAGACAAAGGAAUGAUAAUCAGUAUUUGCAUUUUGGCAGCUGUUUUCUUUGUCAUAAUGACUGCUUAUCUAAAAAUACAUAAAACACACUAUCAUAAAAUCAAAUACAUACGACAAUAUAGAGAACAAAAUGUCAAUACAAGAAAUGAAAAUUCGGUUCUUUGAAAUGAUAGCAGAUGUAUGUACCAUCGUUUCGUUAAUCAUAGUGUCGUUGGUAACAAACCAUUUUUAAAUGUCCAAACUUCUUGUUUUGAUGUAUAUGGGAUGUAACUUUGUAUCACCCAAGUGCUUAAAUCUCAUAAAACCCUCCAUACUUUUUUUUGACUUAGGAAACCGCCUAGAUAAGAUGUCUUAACAGAAUUAGUUCAGCAAUUUUACAAAAAUUUAAUUAAAGAAGAAAUCAAUACAACAGUAUUCGACGAGAAAACUUAUCUUAUUAGAAAUGCUGCAAACGUCUAAAUUUAACUUUGUAUUCUUUUUAGCGUUAUUUGACAGAAUACCAAAAUACAUCGCUAUAUGCCAUGCAUAUAUUUUUACGAAUAGACCAUUCUGAAAUACACAAAACCAUAUCUACGAUAGUCUAUAAGCAUUAAUAAUGUAACUGGAAAAAAAAAUAAAAGGCGUAAUUACGCAUUUUUAAGGUAUUUUAACCCAAAAGGGGGUUAAUAACGCGCAGAUAGGCAUCAUAAAGCGUUUUGAACAGUUGUUUUUACGCAAAAAAGACAUUAUUACGCCUUUCUGUAAGGCGUGAUAACGCCUUUUUUAAAGACGUAAUAAUGCCUUUAUAAAAGGCGUAAUAACGCAAAUAAAAGCCUAAUAUCUUAAUUUAUAAAGAUUAUAACUACUUUCGUAAAAUCAUAAUUACAACCUUUCAAAAGGCUUUUAAACAAAAACACAUACAUGCAAACAAAAUAGGGACGCACGUUUGUUGUGUUUCAACUUAUUAGGAAAAGAGGGGCUAGAUAAUUGUGUCAUUUUGAACUCAUUUAAUCUCUUUUAAAUGAAGAGCUUUUUGUAAAGACAGAGGGUAUAUUCAAGCUGUAAAUCUAAUUUAAAUUUUACUACCCUAAAUAAUAAUUUAUGGAUAAGGAAAUAAUGUCACAAUUUUAAAGUAAUUCGGUGAUUUCUUUGUUACCUUUCCAGCCCACUGAACAUGGUUUCUUAUUGACAAGGAUCGUUUCAUCCAUCUGUUUAAAAACUCAUAUUGUUCAACUCGAGCAAUCUAAUUGGAUAAAAUCCCAUCCCCACUUAAAAUUUAAUUGUUGUACCAUGAUGUUGAUUUGGAACAAAUUUUGAAUGCUUAGUAAUUAAAAGAUAUAUUCAU